rnacentral:rRNA from 1 species
GACGAACGCUGGCGGCGUGCCUAAUACAUGCAAGUAGAACGCUGAAGGAGGAGCUUGCUUCUCUGGAUGAGUUGCGAACGGGUGAGUAACGCGUAGGUAACCUGCCUGGUAGCGGGGGAUAACUAUUGGAAACGAUAGCUAAUACCGCAUAAGAGUAGAUGUUGCAUGACAUUUGCUUAAAAGGUGCAAUUGCAUCACUACCAGAUGGACCUGCGUUGUAUUAGCUAGUUGGUGGGGUAACGGCUCACCAAGGCGACGAUACAUAGCCGACCUGAGAGGGUGAUCGGCCACACUGGGACUGAGACACGGCCCAGACUCCUACGGGAGGCAGCAGUAGGGAAUCUUCGGCAAUGGACGGAAGUCUGACCGAGCAACGCCGCGUGAGUGAAGAAGGUUUUCGGAUCGUAAAGCUCUGUUGUAAGAGAAGAACGAGUGUGAGAGUGGAAAGUUCACG